AGUUUGAUCCUGGCUCAGGAUGAACGCUAGCGGCAGGCCUAAUACAUGCAAGUCGAACGGUGAUAGCAAUAUCAUAGUGGCGCACGGGUGCGUAACACGUAUGCAACCUACCUAUUAUUGGGGGAUAGCCUUUGGAAACGGAGAUUAAUACCGCAUAAUACGAUUGACUGGCAUCGGUUGAUUGUUAAAGCUUUGGCGAUAAUAGAUGGGCAUGCGUCCAAUUAGUUAGUUGGUUAGGUAACGGCUGACCAAGACGAUGAUUGGUAGGGGAUCUGAGAGGAUAAUCCCCCACACUGGCACUGAGAUACGGGCCAGACUCCUACGGGAGGCAGCAGUAGGGAAUAUUGGGCAAUGGGCGGAAGCCUGACCCAGCCAUGCCGCGUGCAGGAAGAAGGCGUUAUGCGUUGUAAACUGCUUUUUUAUAGGAAGAAGGAUCCCUUGCGAGGGAAGGUGACGGUACUAUAAGAAUAAGCACCGGCUAACUCCGUGCCAGCAGCCGCGGUAAUACGGAGGGUGCAAGCGUUGUCCGGAUUUAUUGGGUUUAAAGGGUGCGUAGGCGGUUUAUUAAGUCGGUGGUGAAAGACGGUCGCUCCACGAUUGCAGUGCCAUUGAUACUGGUAGACUUGAGUGA
rnacentral:rRNA from 1 species